rnacentral:snoRNA from 1 species
GAGUCAAUGAUGAGAACUUUAUAUUGUCUAAAGAGAAGUGAUGGCUUAAAAAUCAUGCUCAAUAGUAUUAUGCUGAGGCCC